rnacentral:lncRNA from 1 species
CUCUCCCUCUUUCUUUCUUUCUUUCUUUUUUGUAAUUUAUUAUUUUGAUAUAUUCGGCUAUUCCCACGUAAUUGAGUUGAAAAUUCUAUAAGAUUUAUGGAUUGGCCGUUUAUUUAAGUAUUGCCUUAUAUCAACCAAACUCUCCCUAACUUAGAUGUAGGAACUAAAAAGAUCUAUGAGAAAUUCUUUAUUUACCACAGAUGGUGUAGAAAAUCU